UCCAGACAAACGAAAUCAUCAAUUGAUCGCUUCGUGUCCUUCAGCGUACCAAAUACUUAAAACGGAUGCGAGUAUGAAGCAACAUUUGAUUGAACAAGCAAGCACAAUAUUUGAAAGCUUCGACGCGAAGCUAUUUGAGAUCUGCCGUAAUGUGCCAGGAUGGCAUUUGAUUGAUCCAGCAGACGAGAAGAUUGUAUGUCCGUUCUGCCAGUAUAAGUCGGCACCUCAAUUGCGAAAAGAUAGAUUAAAGCUGGGGUGGAAUCUUGGCAAUGUAACUCGCCAUUUGAGGGACAGCCACGAGUCAACUGAUACGUCGGAAAAUGUCAACGUUAACUCGAUAUUGGAAGU